UCUUCUCCCUCUCGCUCUCUCUUUCCGGUCUCUUGCUGCUUCUUCCGGUUGGCGCCCAUCCCUCUGUGAGGAGCCUUCUGCUGCUCCUUCUCCCUUUCCUUCUGCGUUCGUCUUCUUUCUUCCUCUCUUCCUUUUCUCCUUCUCCCUUCUAAAUUGCACAGAGAUCUCUCCGUCUCUCUCUCUCUGUCUCUGUCUCUCCCUCUCGUUUCUGUGUUCUGAUUUAUAUUUUUUGUUUUGCUUUUCCUUGUCCCUGUUGCGACGGAUGACGGAUGCGCAGGGUGUUUUUCCUCUUGCUGGAGUCGGCGAAGUUACGAAUUGAAUUCUCUCUCUUCCUCUAUCGCUCUCUCUGUGGUCUGCUCGCGUUUGGUCGCUGUGGGUAGAUCUACGGGGAGCUUCGGGCUAUUGACAGAAAUUUGCACAAACGGUGAGGAUCGAGCAGUUCUGUGCGUCGUCGGGGUUGGAGCUGUCGAUUCUGCGACCGACGAGGAGGGAUGAGAUGAUAAUCGCUGGUCCAUGAGGAAUAUUCUCGGUUGAAAGGCGGAGGGGGGAGAGUUCUCCGGAGAUGAAGAGGUCUCGAGAGGAAAGCUACAUGAGUUCUCACCUCAAGCGCGCCGGUCCUCCCUCGCGCGGCGAGUCGUCUGGGCAGCCUCAAAAUUCUGGAGGAGGUCAAAAGCUAACUACUGGAGAUGCCCUAGCCUAUCUGAAGGCAGUAAGGGAGAUGUUUCACGAUAAGAAGGAAAAAUAUGACGAGUUCCUUGAAGUAAUGAAAGAAUUUAAGGCCCAAAGGAUCGAUACAACUGGUGUCAUCACAAGAGUCAAAGAAUUAUUUAAAGGGCACAGAAACCUUAUUUUGGGUUUUAAUACAUUCUUGCCGAAGGGUUAUGAGAUAACCCUGCCGAUGGAAGAUGAUCCUCCACCAAAGAAGCCGGUUGAGUUUGAGGAAGCCAUCAAUUUUGUUAACAAGAUAAAGACCCGUUUCCAGCAUGAUGAACGUGUCUAUAAAGCAUUUUUGGAGAUUUUGAAUCAGUACAGGAAGGAGAGCAAGUCUAUUACUGAGGUGUACCAGGAGGUUGCUUUUUUGUUUCGAGAUCACCGUGACUUACUGGAGGAAUUCACACACUUCCUACCGGAUACAACAACUACAGCUGCCGCACAGCAUGGCCCUUUUGGAAGAAAUGUGCCAGGAAGUUUUAUGCGCAGGGAUGAGAGGGGCCCUAGCGCAGGCACAAUGAAGCAUAUGCACGAAAAGAGGGAGAGGGUGGCUAAUUCCCAUGGUGAUCGGGAUAUGAGUGUUGAUCGUCCAGAUCAGGAACAUGAUAAGGCAUCUGUUAAACUUGAAAAGGAGCAAAGAAAGAGGACUGAUAAGGAGAAAGAUAAGAAAGAUGAGAGGGAUAGAAGAUAUCAUGAUCAAGACGAUAAAGAUGACCAUGGCCGGGACAGGGACGGAGAUAAUCUGUUUCGCCAUCCCCAGAAGAGGAAGUCCUCUAGAAGAAAUGACGAUUUAAUUGCUGAUCCAUCACAAGGAGGAGAUGGAGCAGAAAACUUUGGAUUUCCAGCAAUGCCAGCUUCUUCAUUUGAAGAGAAGCUUGCACUAAAGAAUACGUAUGCACAAGAGUUUAUUUUCUGUGACAAAGUUAAGGAGACACUGGAGCCCAGACAAUAUCAAGAAUUUCUGAAAUGCCUGGAUAUCUACAGCAAGGAGAUAAUUUCACGGACAGAUUUGCAGAAUUUGGUUGCUGACUUGCUUGGAAAUCAUCCAGAUCUUAUGGAAGGGUUCAAUGAGUUUCUGUCACACUGCGAGAGUAUUGAUGGUUUCCUUGAAGGUGUUGUCAAUAAAAAAAUAUUUGAGGGCCAGUUGUCUAAGCGAGUAAAGUCAGAGGACAAGGAAAGGGACAGAGAACGUGACAGAGAUGAACGCGAGAAAGAACGGGAUCGUGAAAGGGACAGAGAAAAGGAAAGACCUGAUAAAGUUUCAUCCUUUACUCCAAAGGACUCUGCUAGCCACAAGGGUUCAGCGUUAAACACUAAGGUUCAAUAUACAAACAAAUGCAUUUCAGAGCUUGAUCUUUCUGCUUGCCAGCGCUGUACGCCUAGCUACCGCCUCCUCCCAAAACAUUAUCAGCUACCUCCUGCAAGCUAUAGAACAGAUCUUGGUUCAGCUGUGCUGAAUGAUGUUUGGGUAUCUGUUACCUCUGGAAGUGAGGACUAUUCAUUUAAGCAUAUGCGGAAAAAUCAAUAUGAAGAGAGCCUAUUCAGAUGUGAGGAUGACAGGUUUGAACUCGACAUGUUGCUGGAAUCAACCAAUGUGACUACUAAGCGUGUGGAGGAACUUUUGGAGAAAAUGCAAAAUAAUUUGAUAAAGCAUGAUGGCCCAAUCCGGAUAGAAGAACAUUUAAAUGCCAUCAAUUUAAGGUGCAUUGAGCGAAUAUAUGGUGAUCAUGGUCUGGAUGUACUCGACUUAUUGCGCAAGAAUGCAAGUGUAGCAUUGCCUGUUAUACUAACUCGACUGAAGCAAAAACAAGAAGAGUGGACAAGAUGUCGUAAUGACAUGAAUAAAGUAUGGGCUGAAGUAUAUGCCAAGAACUACCAUAAAUCUCUUGACCAUCGUAGCUUUUAUUUCAAGCAACAAGACAAAAAGAGCUUGAGUAUUAAAGCUUUGUUAGCUGAAAUUAGAGAGGUCAACGAGAAAAAACGCAAGGAGGAUGAUGUCCUUUUGGCAAUUGCUGGUGGGAACAGGCGGCCUAUAAUUCCUAACCUUGAAUUUGAGUAUGCUGAUCCAGAUCUUCAUGAAGACUUGUAUCAGAUCAUCAAGUACUCAUGUAUGGAAGUCUGUCCAACUGUCGAGCAGCUGGAUAGAGUGAUGAAGAUAUGGACUACUUUUUUGGAACCCAUGCUUGGUGUUCCUUCACGACCUCAUGGUGCAGAAGACACUGAAGAGGUGGUUAAGUCAAAGAAUAAUUCUUCCAAAGGUAACACAGGUCAUCCCACAGAAGGUGAGAGCAGUCCAUGUGCCGAUGGUACCAUGAGCAAUGCAAUUCUGCCAAAACCUAACAGUGUUGAUAACCUGCCCUUGGAGCAUGCAAAUGCGUCAAGAGCUAAGUUAGUGAAUGGGGAGGCCGUUGUUAAGCAAGAUGGUCUUCAUGAUGUGGAUCGUGGUGCACAUAAGAAUGAUUCUUAUGGUGGUUCUCCAAAUCCCAAAGCACAGGGUAGUGCUUCUGUGCCAAACGAAAUAUCUGCAGCCAAUUUAAAUAGUGCUUCUAGUGAUCGGUUUGUUGAAGCUAAUGCUUCGCAUGGUCUACGAGCAGAACACAGUCAAGGAAAAUCUAAUCUAGAAAAUGCACAAGGCCCUGCCACACCUUUGAGAACACCCACCAUAGGCAACUCAAUGGAAUCCAGACAUAAUGAUGGGACUCAUCCUGCUACUGAGGUGGAGGAAAACAACAGGCAACAUGGGACUGUGAAUGAGGGGUGCACGACUGAGAAUAGGUCCGGCUUGGUGGUCAAUAAAGAGGUUUCUGAUGCUCGUAACAACCUUAAGGUUGAGAGGGAAGAGGGCGAGUUAUCACCUAAUGGAGACUUUGAGGAAGAUAAUUUUGUGGUGUACCAUGAAUCUGCUCUGGAACCUACUUCGAAAGCCAAGGAUGGUUCUGAGAGUAGGCAGUAUCAAGGAAGGCCUAGGGAAGAUGAAGAAGUUUGUUGUGGUGGGGCAGGAGAACAUGAUGCUGAUGCAGAUGAUGAGGGGGAGGAAAGUGCUCAGCGGUCCACUGAGGACAGUGAGAACAUGUCUGAAGCCGGUGAGGAUGUUUCUGGUAGUGAGUCAGGUGAUGCUGAGGAAUGUUCUCAUGAGGAUCAUGAAGAGGAAGAAGAUGAAGAGCAUGAUGAUGGUAAGGCUGAAAGUGAAGGAGAAGCUGAAGGGAUGGCUGAUGCUCUUGAUGGUGAGGGAGAAGGGACAUCUUUAUCUUUUUCCGAGCGGUUCUUUAUGGCAGUGAAGCCUUUGACAAAGUACAUUCCACCAGCAUUACUAGAAAAGGACAAUAAGGAAUCUAAGAUUUUUUAUGGAAAUGACUCUUUUUAUGUUCUGUUUAGACUCCACCAGGCGUUGUAUGAAAGGAUCCUUUCCGCAAAAAUGAACUCUGCUUCUGCUGAAGGGAAGUGGAGGUGUUCCAAGGAUACAAACCCUCCAGAUCAAUAUGCUAAGUUUAUGAGUGUCCUGUACAGUUUAUUGGAUGGUACAGCAGACAAUGCUAAGUUUGAAGAUGAUUGCCGGGCUAUCAUUGGCACACAGUCGUAUGUCCUAUUUACAUUGGAUAAACUGAUUUUUAAGCUUGUCAAACAGCUGCAAGCAAUAUCAACGGAUGAAACGGAUAGUAAGCUUCUCCAGCUGCAUGCGUAUGAAAAGUCAAGGGCGCAAAAGAGAUUUGUCGAUGUGGUUUACCACGAAAAUGCUCGCAAUCUCCUGCAUGAAGAGAACAUAUAUCGGCUUGAAUGUUCUACAAAUCCAAGCCGACUGUCCAUCCAGCUGAUGGAUUAUGGGCAUGAAAAGCCUGAAGUUACUGCUGUUUCCAUGGAUUCUACAUUUGCACUAUAUUUAAAUAAUGAGUUCUUGUCAGUCAGUCAUGCCAGGAAAGAAAUCCGCCCACUUUUCCUCAAAAGGAACAUGAGGAGAUAUUCAUGCAGCGAUGAGUAUCUCUCUAUUUCCAAAGCAAUGGAAGGUGUUAGAAUUGUUAAUGGUUUGGAGUGCAAGUUAUCCUGCAGCAACUCCAAGGCUUCUUAUGUUCUAGACACUGAGGACUUCUUGUAUCGUACCCGAAGGAAAAGGUCAAGUACACAAAGUAGAAGUUCGUCAUGUCAUGAUCAUGUGCAAUCUGUCAAUGCCUCGAAGUUAGAGAGGUUCCACAGAUGGCUUGGUGGUUCAUGAAGCAGUGCUUGAUGAACAAAAUUGGUAAAUCCUAGCUUCUCCACAUCUCUGAGGAUCUAUGUGGUGGCCGGUACAGCUCUUCAUCUUUGCAUCAGUUGCAAGGGCAGAGCCUCUUGCUCGCGCAACUCUUGUAGGAAUCAAGAAAGGGAGAUCCUUUGAUGCACCACGUUAGACAAUUCAUUGGAUGACAAAAUGAGUAGCCGAAGCAGUAUCGGAACACAACCUUCCUCCCUCUCAUUCUGCACAUUAGUGAAUGAGCUUCUCAGAUGCGAUUAGAAUAACAAGCUGCAGAUGUUCUCCAUGAAUAUGGUGACAUAUGAAGUACUGAAGGCAGAAGCCGUGAAUGUUGUACAUAGCUGUGUAAUGUAAACCGUAGUGAUAGUCUUACCUGCUUCACCUACCUGAAGAUGCAAGUGUAUACGAUCUGUCUUCUCCAAUUUAUUGAUGCUUCCAUUCUAAUGUUUCCGUGGAUAAGUACAAUAACAAUGGUUUGGAUAGAGGAGGGUUUAUGGCGAGCGAGGAUCGUAUUAGAUAGCAAUUAAUUUUUCUUUUUA